rnacentral:rRNA from 1 species
CAGCAGCCGCGGUAAUACGUAAUNCUCGAGUGGUAUCCAGCAUUAUUUGGCNUAAAGCAUGUGUAGCUGGUUACUAAGUCUUUUGUGAAAGCAGCAAGCUUAACUUGUUGAAUUGCAAAAGAUACUGGUAUGACUAGGGACCGGNAGACGUCAAGGGUAUUUCUAGAGUAGGAGUAGAAUCUUAAGAUACUAGAAAGACCAUCUGUGGCGAAGGCGCUUGACGAGAACGGAUCCGACAGUGAGACAUGAAAGCUGGGGGCGCAACCCGGAUUAGAUACCCGGUUAGUCCCAGCCGUAAACGAUGCGGAUUAGGUGUUGGGUUAACUACGAGUUAACUCAGGGCCGAAGAGAAAUCAUUAAAUCCGCCGCCUGGGAAGUAUGGUCGCAAGACUGAAACUUAAUGGAAUUGGCGGGGGUGCACUACAAGGGGUGGAUGCUGCGGUUUAAUUGGAUGAAACGCCAGAUAUCUUACCAGGGCUGACAGCAAUAUGAUGGUCACUCUAAAGGGGUUACCUGAUGCGCUGAGAGCUGCUGUAUGGUCAUCGUCAGCUCGUACUGUGAAGCUUCCUGUUAACUCAGGUAACGGGCGAGACCCAUAUUAUUAGUUGCUACUUUUUUUCUUAGAAAAAAAGGCACUCUAAUAAGACUGCACUGGUAACAGUGAGGAAGGAAUGGGCGAAGGUAGAUCUGUAUAGCGCGAACGUUCUGGGCAACACGCGGCAUACAAAGGCCAAGACAAAGAGUCUCUAACCCGAAAGGGGGUGGUAAUCUCAAAAACUUGGUCCAAGUCCGGAUUGAGGAUUGCAACUCAUCCUCAUGAAGCUGGAAUCCCCAGUAAUCGCGUGUCACUAUCGCGCGGUGAAUAUGUCCCUGCCCCUUGCACAC